rnacentral:rRNA from 1 species
UAUCCUACGGGAGGCAGCAGUGGGGAAUCUUCCACAAUUUUCUAAAUCCUUAUUUAGCAACUCCUCUUUUUUUAAGAAGGUCUUCGGAUCGUAAAACCCUGUUGUUAGAGAAGAAAGUGCGUGAGAGUAACUGUUCACGUUUCGACGGUAUCUAACCAGAAAGCCACGGCUAACUACGUGCCAGCAGCCGCGGUAAUACGUAGGUGGCAAGCGUUAUCCGGAUUUAUUGGGCGUAAAUUUAACUCAUUCGUUCUUUUAAGUCUGAUGUGAAAGCCUUCGGCUUAACCGGAGUAGUGCAUUGGAAA